rnacentral:rRNA from 1 species
GACGGUACCUGAAGAAAAAGCAUCGGCUAACUCCGUGCCAGCAGCCGCGGUAAUACGGAGGAUGCAAGCGUUAUCCGGAAUCAUUGGGCGUAAAGGGUCCGCAGGUGGCGAAUAAAGUCUGCUGUUAAAGACCGGGGCUAAACUCCGGAAAGGCAGUGGAAACUGAUUAGCUAGAGUACGGUAGGGGUAGAGGGAAUUCCCAGUGUAGCGGUGAAAUGCGUAGAUAUUGGGAAGAACACCGGUGGCGAAAGCGCUCUACUAGGCCGAAACUGACACUGAGGGACGAAAGCUAGGGUAGCGAAAGGGAUUAGAUACCCCUGUAGUCUUAGCUGUAAACGAUGGAUACUAGGCGUAGCUUGUAUCGACCCGAGCUGUGCCGAAGCUAACGCGAUAAGUAUCCCGCCUGGGGAGUACGCACGCAAGUGUGAAACUCAGAGGAAUUGACGGGGGCCCGCACAAGCGGUGGAGUAUGUGGUUUAAUUCGAUGCAACGCGAAGAACCUUACCAGGGCUUGACAUGUCGCGAAUCUGGCGGAAACGUUAGAGUGCCUCAGGGAACGCGAACACAGGUGGCGCAUGGCUGUCGUCAGCUCGUGUCGUGAGAUGUUGGGUUAAGUCCCGCAACGAGCGCAACCCUCGUCCUUAGUUGCCAAUAUUAAGUUAGGCACUCUAGGGAGACUGCCGGGGACAACUCGGAGGAAGGUGGGGAUGACGUCAAGUCAACAUGCCCCUUACGUCCUGGGCGACACACGUACUACAAUGGUUGGGACAAAGGGCAGCAAGCUCGCGAGAGUAAGCGAAUCUCAUCAAACCCAGCCACAGUUCAGAUUGCAGGCUGCAACUCGCCUGCAUGAAGUAGGAAUCGCUAGUAAUCGCAGGUCAGCAUACUGCGGCGAAUUCGUUCCCGGGCCUUGUACACACCGCCCGUCACACCAUGGAAGCUGUCUACGCCCGAAGUCGUUACCCUAACCCGGUUUUGGGAGGGGGAUGCCGAAGGUAGAGCUAGUGACUGGGGUGAAGUCGUAACAAGGUAGCCGUACCGGAAGGUGUGGCUGGAUCACCUCCUUU